UCACGCCUUGGUCAGUUCGUCUACCCCGGUUCUGCCGCCAAGCAGAGACAGCGCCCGUUCCCCUCCUCCCAUCCCCCGUCCCACCACGGCCCACGCCGAUCUCUACCGCGAGCUCUGGCCCCCUCGACAUGGCAUAGCCGAUGGCAGUCUGUGCCGUCAAUCCGAGAAGCCUCCUCGGCCCGUUGAGGGCCAAGCGGUGCUCGCCGCCGUGGACCGUCUCCCAUUUAGUGGUGAAAGCCGGAGAUGGAUACGGAGGAGGAACUGGACGAAGAUGGAAAGAAGAGGAGGGGAAAUUGGAGGAAUAUGGGGUGAAGAGGAGGAUAUGGAGGAGGUCAGGAGGACAACGCCACAGAUGAGGACGAGAGCGCAAGGUGCACGACGACGGGAUCUCAGCGGGAGUAGCCCCACUAGCGUCGGGAUGGGGAGGAGCGCUUGGGUAGAGGUGUUUCUACGCCUCCAGCAGCCUACCUCUUCUCCUCCCAGCCCUUCUUCUGCUCCCGCACGGCCCUGAGACAGGGCUAACGCCGCCGGCUGUUUAUUUGGCAAGGGCGAUGAGGGGCACAGGAGAUACAGCAGGGCCUGUGCUGUAGCUGUUUAUUUGGCAAGGGCCUGUGCUGCUUCUGCCCUUGGAUGGCGGCGACUUGUGAGGGCUGUUUGAAUGAGGGCGACUUAGGCGGGGGUUGUACUCCGCUCCCUCCAAUCUGCCGGCGCAGCCUUUUCAUCCUGACGGGACAGCCACCACCGGAGCAAAUCCAUAUUCAGGUGAUUUCCACAGUCAAGGUAGUUAUUUAUUAGAUUUUACCCUGCCUACAUUGAUUUAGUUGGGAUCAUUCCUUCCAAGGUUUUAGUUUUUUUAGACUAUUUCAGUUUGUAUGCCAAGCUAGAAAUUUGAUUAUAAAAAGGUGUGUCUUAAGCGUCAUGCUAAGAGAAAGAACCGUUUGGUUUUCCAAUCAGAUUGAUCUUACACAGGCUGUCUAUUCACUGGAUUACUAUCUUCCUUAUUCUUUUGUUUAUCAAGAUCUGCAUCAUAUCCACAAAGUUAGCAGGUGGAGUGUACUUUGCUUUGAUGGUGAUGUUCUAGGUUUGUAUGUACUAUUUAAAGUAAAAUGAUUUUCCUUGGUCUGUACGGAAUAAGAACUGAUUAUUUUAAAUCAGUAACGGGAACAAGACUAUCCUCAAGCACCAAUGAUUUCUGCAAAUGUCAGCUACAUCAACCUACAGAGGCUGAUACAUUUCCAAACACACUGUUAUUGUUUGAAUGUAUUUUGUUUCCUUUUAGGAUAGAUAUUAACCUCUUUAUGCCCAACUCCUGAAUUAUUUGUGUUAUGCCAAUGCAAGAUGGCCACCUCUCACCAUAUGCAUUUUGUCGGCAACAACCAGUAUUUGGUCAAGCCCAACUCCUCCUGGAGCUUAAACUGCGGGGCACUGCACUCAACAUGCAAGGAUCGGUCUAGACAAUUGUCCUUUUCAGAUUAGGUACAGGAGCUUCCCCAAGACUUCUGAUUCCUACGCACCAGAGGUCCAGAGUAGCAAAUAUGAUUCCUUUAUUGUGGACUUCUGCAACACGAAAUAUUGUUCUGUGGAUGAAGAGGUUACAACUAAUUGACUCAUUUGAUUAGAUGUUGUUUUCCUUGAAAUCUCCAUUAUUUGACACACGCAUUUCAGUUAAUUUAUCGAGUUAUAUUUUUUCUGCAUCAAGCUUCUUCAGUAAUGGCUUUUUAGUGUCUCGAGUAAGCUCUCCACCUGAUAUCUCAAUAUGGAAAAAAAACGAAAAUUUCUGCUUCAAGCCUUCAAUAUUAGCGAGAACUGAAAAAAUCGGAAGGGCUUGGAGCUGAUGGAUUUGUUUGUUCAUGAAUAAGUAUGUAAAAAACCUCCAAUGAAGCUCCUAGACAGUGUCAUCUUUACUGUUUUACCAUCACAACCAACUCCAAUAAGAAAACGAAGGAAGCCAGGAAUGCGCCAACAUAUGCUGUCAGGUGGAGGCCUAAACAUACUCCGAAAAAUAAAAUUCAGGUUUGUGCUAUAAGAUUCCUGCCAAGCAUCACUUUACUUUUGCAGUGCUGUCCUCUGAGUUGACAAGCUAAUCUUAUAGAAACUCGAAAUCCACGAUGCUUCUGUCAUAUAUUUGUACACUAAUACUUACAUAUAUCAUGCAAAAAGGAGGUGGCCUGGGCAAAAAAAAUGUGACUUUUGUUCCCUGCUUCUCCCCUGUUUCAUACAUACUAUGAUAAUCAUCGAGAUAGAUUGUUCUUAAUCAGGUGAAUGUUUCCUUCAUAGGGUAUAUUUUUGUAACUACAUAUUCUGUCCGUGCUUAUAUAAGAUCAAAAUGUACACUGAUUGCCAAUUUUUUAGAUUAUUUAUGUUCAAUUUACUGCUGAUUUGUAGCACUACAGAUCACAUAUGCAUUGAUUCAUUUUUAAGUUAAAAAAUGGGCACUAUCUUAUAAAUCAGCAGAGCAAAGUAGAGCUCAUAGUUAGGAGUGUCAUGAGCUCUACAUGAUCGAGAAAAUGGUUUUUCUUGGCUUGCUAUUGUGAGUUAGAUACCGAGAAAUAUAUAUGUUAGAACUCAUUCGUGGUCUUGCUCCUUCUUUGAUGAUAUUGAUGUUAGAUCUCAGUAAAGGUAUUUUCCAUCAUGAGGCGAUCUAUUUCUCUUGAUUUUAAUUACAAUUUCAUGUGGAUUGUAGCAUGUUUCAAAAAAAUCUAAAUCAGCAUGGCAAGUCCCUAUGAAAAUGCAUUGGUAGGAUGGUCUAUUCUCUAUAAUUUGGGGAGUACUAUAAAUAUAUUGUAUAAACUCAUUUGUAGCUUCCAUUUAGCUACCACCUGUGAUUGGUGUUUCAUUCUGUUAAGCAACAAGUAACUAAUUUUUGAGUGCCUCUUUGGUUCAAAUUCCAGGAGUCCACAUUGCACUGUCUCAUUAUUUCAAAUUGGUGCAAUUAUAUUUAUGUAAGGUACUAAUGCCAGGUUAGUGAGUAUUCUGUUAUAUAUAGACAAAGGUCCGCCAAAGAUACAUAUUAGUACACUAGGGAUUAUCAUCUUCCCUUCUAUGUUUCAUACUGGUGCUGGUUUCAUUAUCAUCGAAGUAUGGAAUAGAUGCCAGCUACAUAGAUCCAGAUCAAGUUUGUAGAUCCAGUUUCACAUUCUUCACUUAAAACUACCAAGGAAUACGACACAUAUGGCUACAACAAGGGGGCAAACUGGCUAUUAUUCGUAUGAGAUGUCCACUCUCUAUUGGUGAGGAGUUGCACAAAUUGAGAUUACAUUUGUACUAAUAUUGUUGAUAUAUGAUAAUCAUAAGCAAGGAAAUUUCUAGAUCCUCAGUUUUCCUUCCAUGGAAAUUAUUUUAAGCUUAGGUACUACUAGAGAAUGAUCAUCACAAGUACUGGUUUAGAAAUAAUCAUUACAAGUGCUGGUUGAGUGAUACUUACAUUUUUCUGAAUUAUCUCAGUACUAGGAUAGCUUUAGGUUCAGAUGCAGGCAAUGAUUAUCACAAGUACCACUACAGUAAUGUUUUCAUUCUCCCGAGUCACAUGCUGACUAGGUUUCUAACUAAUCGCUCUACGCAAGGUUAUAAUACUUUCAUUCAUCCCUCAGUACUAGGCUUAAAAAAUUAGUUUUCGUUGUAUACAUAUCUUCCUAUAAAUGAUGCAGAUCUUUUCAGUCCAAGAAGCAUUGAAAUCUUGCUUCUAUCCUAUGGGAUGCAAUGGAAGGAUGUGUGCCAGCUAAUCGUAGACCAAUUCAAGGCAGAGCUAAAAGAAGUACAAGACAUUUGAGGUCCAGACUUACAGGAGACAAGGUAUCCACUUCAGUGUUGAUGUGAUUCUGCUAGAUUAAAUUACACACUACCCUCGCAGUAUACUGAUCCUACAUGGUUCCCCCGGCAAGCAGUAAGAUGCCAUCUGCAUCACCAGAUCAACCUAUUCCAGCCACUCAAGACAGAGAAAAAGCACUAGCAAGGUACUAAUCUUGGAUAAAACGUUUGAUUCCCUGGCCUCUACCGGCAAAAUUAAUACGCAUAAUAUGGUGGACCUAUGUGCCUUACUUUCAGUAUCCUGUAAACAUAAGUACUUGGCCAUGGAUGUUGUAUGAUCGCCUUAAUUAUCCGUCAUUGUC